rnacentral:rRNA from 1 species
GUCUUUUUGAUUUAAAUAUAAAGUAUAACCUGCCCAUUGAAAUUUUAAAAGGCUGCGGUAUAUUGACCGUACAAAGGUAGCAUAAUCAUUAGUUUUUUAAUUGGAAACUCGUAUGAAUGGUUGAAUGAGGAAUAAACUUUUUUAAUAGAAAAAUUGAAUUUUACAUUUUAAUUAAAAGGUUAAAAUAUAUUUAAAAGACGAGAAGACCCUAUAGAGUUUUAUAAUUUAUAUUUAAUGUUAAAAAAAAUUAAUAAAUAUUUUUAUUUAAAUAAUUAUUUUGUUGGGGUGAUGAUAAAAUUUAAUUAACUUUUAUUUUUUUUUACAUUAAUAAAUGAAUAAUUGAUCCACUAAUAGUGAUUAAAAAAUUAAAUUACCUUAGGGAUAACAGCGUAAUUUUUUUUUUAAGUUCAUAUUAAUAAAAAAUUUUGCGACCUCGAUGUUGGAUUAAGAUUUAAUUUUAGGUGCAGAAGUUUAAAAUUU